rnacentral:rRNA from 1 species
UACCGCAUAAAGUUGAGAGACCAAAGCAUGGGACCUACGGGCCAUGCGCCAUUUGAUGAACCCAUAUGGGAUUAGCUAGUUGGUGGGGUAAUGGCUCACCAAGGCGACGAUCUCUAGCUGGUCUGAGAGGAUGACCAGCCACACUGGAACUGAGACACGGUCCAGACUCCUACGGGAGGCAGCAGUGGGGAAUAUUGCACAAUGGGGGGAACCCUGAUGCAGCCAUGCCGCGUGUAUGAAGAAGGCCUUCGGGUUGUAAAGUACUUUCGGUGAUGAGGAAGGURAUGAAUCUAAUAGGUUUAUUAAUUGACGUUAAUCACAGAAGAAGCACCGGCUAACUCCGUGCCAGCAGCCGCGGUAAUACGGAGGGUGCGAGCGUUAAUCGGAAUGACUGGGCGUAAAGGGCAUGUAGGCGGAUAAUUAAGUUAGGUGUGAAAGCCCUGGGCUCAACCUAGGAAUUGCACUUAAAACUGGUUAACUAGAGUAUUGUAGAGGAAGGUAGAAUUCCACGUGUAGCGGUGAAAUGCGUAGAGAUGUGGAGGAAUACCGGUGGCGAAGGCGGCCUUCUGGACAGAUACUGACGCUGAGAUGCGAAAGCGUGGGGAGCAAACAGGAUUAGAUACCCUGGUAGUCCACGCUGUAAACGAUGUCGAUUUGGAGUUUGUUGCCUAGAGUGAUGGGCUCCGAAGCUAACGCGAUAAAUCGACCGCCUGGGGAGUACGGCCGCAAGGUUAAAACUCAAAUGAAUUGACGGGGGCCCGCACAAGCGGUGGAGCAUGUGGUUUAAUUCGAUGCAACGCGAAGAACCUUACCUGGUCUUGACAUCCACAGAAUCUUGUAGAGAUACGAGAGUGCCUUCGGGAACUGUGAGACAGGUGCUGCAUGGCUGUCGUCAGCUCGUGUUGUGAAAUGUUGGGUUAAGUCCCGCAACGAGCGCAACCCUUAUCCUUUGUUGCCAUCGAUUCGGUCGGGAACUCAAAGGAGACUGCCGUUGAUAAAGCGGAGGAAGGUGGGGACGACGUCAAGUCAUCAUGGCCCUUACGACCAGGGCUACACACGUGCUACAAUGGCGUAUACAAAGGGAGGCGACCUCGCGAGAGUAAGCGGACCUCACAAAGUACGUCUAAGUCCGGAUUGGAGUCUGCAACUCGACUCCAUGAAGUCGGAAUCGCUAGUAAUCGUGAAUCAGAAUGUCACGGUGAAUACGUUCCCGGGCCUUGUACACACCGCCCGUCACACCAUGGGAGUGGGU